AUGACAAGAUACCUUUAUUCUGCAAAUCUAUAUGGAAAUGAGGGAGAGGUUAUGGCCGACACCUUGUGGAUGACCAAAGGGGAAGCCCCCACCACUGAAGGGGACCCAGGUGGAGCCGAUGAGCCCAAGCAGCGCAGAUGGUACUGGAGACCGAGGUGGAGCUGGAUGACCAGAGGACAGAGGCUGAGCCAGUGGCACCAAGGACAAAGGUGGAACCAGGGGGAAGGCAGAUCCAGACGGAGCCGAAGGCACAAGCAGGUCAACGUCUGACCAAGGCAGAGCCGGAGGGAUGAAAGAGCCUGGAGAAGACAGAUGCAGAGGGGCUGAAGGACAGCAGCGGAGGCGGGGCUGAGGAACUGGCUGAUUGAGGAGGUGGGAGAGGGAGGCUGGGAGGGAACAAAGGAGAACAGGAGCUGGGCAGAACCAACAGGGACACAGAAGAUGCUGAGGUUGGACAGAACCUGCAGAGACACAGGAGAUUCAGGGAAUGCUGGAGAUUCAGGGAAACUGCCAAUAAUCUCUCCAAGUCAGUCCAUAAGCUCCUUCUCAAAAAUGUCCUUAAGUCCGUCAUAAUAAGCUCCAGAGGCCAGGUUAAACUCACUCAGUGGUGGGAGUGUGGGGGGAUUUUCUCUAAGCCGUCUGUCUCCACUAACCCUUCCUCAUGAUCUGUGGUGUUGCCGGCUCUUGCACCUGGUCAGACAGAUAAUGUGAAGCGGGCUCUGGGGUGAUGACUCCCUCCAACCUAUUCCUCAGUUUGGGCUCGUCAAUCGCGGAAGACCGGUCUUUACAGUCUGUGGUGGGAACAAGCAACAACCACGUCGCAUCGUUCGCUGGUGGUGGAUGGUUGGUCUCUGGCGGUGAUGGAGUGGGGAUGGAGUGGGGCUUGUGGUAAAGUCAUCCUCCGCGGGGCCGAUGGUGAAAGGAGAGUUGUUGUUCUCCAGGACCCACUCCACGGAAGCAGCAGAAUCCUCUUUAGGACCAUCCACUGAAAGGUGUGCCUUCGAUCGCCUGCUCAGGCUGGUAUGGUAAAAAACGCAGAGCGGGCGAUAAGGGUAGUGUGUAAGGCACACCAGAUGGAUGAAGUACCAUGUGUGGUCUUCCAGCACACCCUUUCACUGCGGGAAGGUCCAUGGAAAAAUAAGAGAUUAAAAAGAAGCAAAAGAGGGAAAAACGCUGCUAAUAAUAUUACUGUUUGUGGUCGGUUCUUCUGUUACGGUAUGGCAGUAUAAUAACUUGCACGACAAACAAGAAUAGUUCAGGAACACUUGUUUAAUAUCGAACUCACUAGUUCAGGAACACUUGUUUAAUAUCGAACUCACUGGAGAACAGGAACAAAUGCUAUCAAACACAAUCGUAAACUAGAAGCGACAAAUACUGAGGGAGAACUGAAGGCUUAAGUACACAAAGCAAACAAGGAACUAAUGAGUUAAGACACAGGUGAAUAUAAUGAUGGAUAAGACAACUCAGGAAAAUUAGGUCACAGGGCAAAACCAAAACACAACAAAAGAGGGAACACAGAUCAUAUGUAACAAUUAGAACCUUAAAAGUACAUAUAAGUACCUAAAUUACCUAAAUGGUACAAAAAAUAAUAUAAAAAUAAAAAUACAGUAAAGACUCAGAAACAAAAGGUAUUAAUUGUUUCUGAGAGUGUACCUAUUUGUUUUAAUUAUGUUAUUGUUUUUUUUUUUAUAUUUAUUUUUUGUAGUUCUCCAGCUCAGAGUGAAAAAAAAAAGAUAAAUAAAUAACCACCAUUAUAAAUUUGCAUGCCUUUAUUGGAUUGGAUCUGAAUUUAAAUGCAGUGGAACACAUUUACAAUAAAGAUGAGUAAACUAGUGAGUUAAGAUGUAAGACUAAGCCUAUGCCAACUAAAAGGACCCCAAAAUGGUCAAUGGGAAACAUUUUUACUCUGUGCUCACCUUUCACAAUGCACUGAUGCAAGCAACAUAAAGCCAUACCUAGAGGGCUAGUUAGUAUCAGCCAUGAUGGCACAAUGUGGAUUAACAUCUGCAAGAGAAAGAAGAGGAGAGAGAGAAUGACGGGGUGAGUGAAGCAAAGGUUUAAGAGCGCAUCUGGGUUGGUGUGCAGCAGUGUGUAAAACAGCCAGUCAAUCAUCUUGUCUUGUGUGAAAGCCAUCUUUCAUUCUGCCUCUGCCAGUCACUCCUAAAUCCCUUUAUUCCUUUUCUGUUCUGCUAUUUUUCUAUUUUAUAAAUCCCAGUGUACUAAAGCCAGUUCAUAACAUGUGUUGUUAUUUUCCUCCUGUUUAAUUUGCAUUACUUUCAAUCAGUAUGCAAUUCCCUAAUCACAAUUUGCCAUUUCUAAUCGCCUCUGAUGUCACUUCUUGUUUUUAAUUAAUGUCAAAACAUGCAUGUUGUAAUAUGGGCAAAUAAAAAUUCUCACAUUGAUUGCUUAGCUCUCAGUAAUGCUGCUGCCAAUGCAUUUUCCCAUAGCACAGAGAUAGCUAAAUAAAUAAAUGAGCCAUUCUAAACUUUUCAUUAACCAAACCAGCCAGGGUUUGUAACAAACAAACAAACAAACAAAUACUACAGGGGUGCAUUCCAGAAAGGGGGUUCAACAAACUCUGAGUAAAAACUUUAACUCUUAGUUGACUAGCCCUGAGAUUGGAAACUCUGAGUUUUCGGUUUCGGAACAGAGGUAGUUCAAUCCACUCUGAGUUUAGCGCAUGUACCAUGACUAUGAAAAGCCAUGAUCAAUGGAGCUCCAAAAUUACGAUUCACCACUGCAACAGCUCCCGCCAAAAAAAAAACUUCAGUGUACUACAGAAUACAUAACUUCAAUUCUAAAUCAAUGUUAUCAGAGGUGAAAACUGGCACAAAGGUAAUUUACUGAACUAAAAUUCAUUUUCAUGGUAUCCCACUAUGGGCAAAAAAAAAAUAAUAAUAAUGGGGCAGCAGAAAAAAACUAAACAUAAAAACAUAAUUCAGUCAGGUAAACCUUCAAGCAUGAAAUGUUUGUAGGCUAACGUUACAUGACUUUACAAAUAUUUGACAUUCAAUAAAUAUCAUUCAGUGUAUAUCUAUUUCAGUGUGCAGCAGCUUUUCCUACACAGUCUAAUGCUUUUUCACAUAAUUAAAUGUUCUCUAGUCUAAUCUAACAUGCUACAUUUCUUAAUUAGAAAAAAAACAUUUGACUUCUAUUCAGAAGCUUACAGCAAGAAGGCAGAGACUGAUAAAAUGGGAGGAGAACCUGCACUAGCACCACUGACAGGUGAAGAGGAGAUGGCCACAAUACCAAUAUUAAAAUCCAACAGGGAAAAGAAUAAUUUGUUGCUUUUGUAUUUGUAGAACAUAACGAUGACCGAAUAAAUUGUGAAUAAUUUGUGUUUAUUUAACAGCUGUGGUGGAGGUCACGGCAUAUAUCUUGCACUACCCUUCCAUAGAUCCCGUUAUAAAGGGCGCUGAUGGUUUAACUCAGGUGGUUAACUGACUCUUUCCAUAACUGCAUUCUCUGGUUUCUCCAAUGGCUUCAUUCAUCAACUUUAGCUUCUCUUUUGUAUGCACGCAUUAGUGUAUGUAUGAAUGUUUGUUUGUUAGACUAGUUUGUGUUAAUGUUUAGUUAAUAAAACUCUUGUGCACAAAUUACAUGAGUUUCUGACUCUGCCUUGCAAAUUAAUUGUCCCUUUACGAUUUUCAAGUCAAGUCAAGUCUGCUUUAUUGUCAAUUUCCACAUGUACAGUACAUACAUACAGAGAAUCGAAAUUGCGUUACUCUCAGACCCCCGGUGCAUACAGAUAACAUUAACAUUAAAGCCUAAAAAAAUAACUAGAUCAAAUAUAAAAUGUAGAUACAAUUAUACAAUAAGGGAAUUAUAUAAAAAAAAAAAAAAAAGAACAUAUAAUAAAAAUAAAAGUUAAAAAUAAAGUUAAAGUUAAAUAAAGCAGCGACAAGGUAAAUGACAGAUAUAGUGACAAAUCAAUGAAGUG
rnacentral:lncRNA from 1 species